rnacentral:rRNA from 1 species
CCUAUGGGAGGCAGCAGUGGGGAAUUUUGGACAAUGGGCGCAAGCCUGAUCCAGCAAUGCCGCGUGAGUGAAGAAGGCCUUCGGGUUGUAAAGCUCUUUUGUCAGGGAAGAAACGGUGGGAGCUAAUAUCUCCCGCUAAUGACGGUACCUGAAGAAUAAGCACCGGCUAACUACGUGCCAGCAGCCGCGGUAAUACGUAGGGUGCAAGCGUUAAUCGGAAUUACUGGGCGUAAAGCGUGCGCAGGCGGUUUUGUAAGUCUGUCGUGAAAGCCCCGGGCUCAACCUGGGAAUUGCGAUGGAGACUGCAAGGCUUGAAUCUGGCAGAGGGGGGUAGAAUUCCACGUGUAGCAGUGAAAUGCGUAGAGAUGUGGAGGAACAUCGAUGGCGAAGGCAGCCCCCUGGGUCAAGAUUGACGCUCAUGCACGAAAGCGUGGGGAGCAAACAGGAUUAGAUACCCUGGUAGUCCACGCCCUAAACGAUGUCUACUAGUUGUCGGGUUUUAAUUAACUUGGUAACGCAGCUAACGCGUGAAGUAGACCGCCUGGGGAUACGGUCGCAAGNUUAAAACGUCAAAGGAUUGACGG